rnacentral:rRNA from 1 species
UAAUACGGAGGGUGCAAGCGUUAUCCGGAUUUAUUGGGUUUAAAGGGUCCGUAGGCGGACUCGUAAGUCAGUGGUGAAAUCUCAUAGCUUAACUAUGAAACUGCCAUUGAUACUGCGGGUCUUGAGUAAAGUAGAAGUGGCUGGAAUAAGUAGUGUAGCGGUGAAAUGCAUAGAUAUUACUUAGAACACCAAUUGCGAAGGCAGGUCACUAUGUUUUAACUGACGCUGAUGGACGAAAGCGUGGGGAGCGAACAGGAUUAGAUACCCUGGUAGUCCACGCCGUAAACGAUGCUAACUCGUUUUUGGGUUUUCGGAUUCAGAGACUAAGCGAAAGUGAUAAGUUAGCCACCUGGGGAGUACGUUCGCAAGAAUG